CAAGUCGAGUGCGCGGUUGUAGCAAUACAACUGGCGCACGGCGCACGGGUGCGUAACACGUGGGUAACCUGCCCUUUGGUGGGGAAUAACUCCGCGAAAGCGGAGCUAAUUCCGCAUAAGAUCCGCAAGGAUGAAAGCCGCAAGGCGCCGAAGGAGGGGCCCGCGCCCGAUUAGCUAGUUGGUAGGGUAACGGCCUACCAAGGCUUUGAUCGGUAGCUGGUCUGAGAGGAUGAUCAGCCACACUGGAACUGAGACACGGUCCAGACUCCUACGGGAGGCAGCAGUGGGGAAUCUUGCACAAUGGGCGAAAGCCUGAUGCAGCGACGCCGCGUGGGGGAUGAAGCAUUUCGGUGUGUAAACCCCUUUCGAUCCGGACGAAACCCCGCAAGGGAUUGACGGUACGGAUAUAAGAAGCCCCGGCUAACUACGUGCCAGCAGCCGCGGUAAGACGUAGGGGGCCAGCGUUGUUCGGAAUUACUGGGUGUAAAGGGUUCGUAGGCGGUGCGGCAAGUUGGGAGUGAAAUCUCUGGGCUUAACCCAGAGGCUGCUUCCAAAACUGCUGUGCUUGAGUGUGGGAGAGGCGCGUGGAAUUGCAGGUGUAGCGGUGAAAUGCGUAGAUAUCUGCAGGAACACCCGUGGCGAAAGCGGCGCGCUGGACCACUACUGACGCUGAGGAACGAAAGCUAGGGGAGCAAACAGGAUUAGAUACCCUGGUAGUCCUAGCCCUAAACGAUCAGGACUUGGGGUGCCACCCGUUCGGGUGUCGUCCCGGAGCUAACGCGUUAAGUCCUGCACCUGGG
rnacentral:rRNA from 1 species